UUUGAAAUCUCAUAGUGUCAUUUGAAGUUUUGCAGUGUCAUUUAUUUGUCGGAGUAGUGUCAUUUAGAAUCUUAUAGUGUCAUUUGAAAUCUCAUAGUGCCAUUUGAAAUCUUAUAGUGUCAUUUGAAAUCUUGUAGUACCAUUUAAAUGACACUUCUUAUAAUCGACACUAUAAGGUUGAAAUUGACACUAUAAUAUUGUAAUUGACACUAUAAUAUUUUAAAUGAUACUAUUUGGAUAUAAAAAUGACACUAUAAAAAAGGAAAAAAGAAACAAAACAUUAAAUUUGAAAGAAAAAAAAAGAAAUAAAACAGAAAAAAAUUACGACAAAAAAAGAAAGAAAAGAAAUAGAAAAAAAAAACAAGAAAAUUUAGCAAAGAAAAAGGAAUUUGAAAACAAAAAUUUACAAAAAAAAGAAAUAAAACAACAAAUUUCGCAAAAAAGAAGAAGAAAGAAAUAGAACAAAAAAAAACAGAAAAUUUAGGAAAAAAAAAAAAAACAAAUUUCCCAAAAAGAAAGCAAGAAAUAAAAAAUAAAUUUCUCAAAAAAUGAUACUAUUUGGAUAUAAAAAUGACACUAUAAAAAAAAAGAAACAAAAACAAUAAAUUUGAAAACAAAAAUUUACAAAAAGAAAAAAAGAAAUAAAACAGCAAAUUUCGCAGAAAAAGAAGAAGAAAGAAAUAGAACAAAAAAAACAGAAAAUUUAGCAAAANAAAAAAGAAAUAAAAAGCAAAUUUCCCAAAAAGAAAGCAAGAAAUAAAACAGUAGAAUUUCGCUCCUACAGGGUU
rnacentral:lncRNA from 1 species